AACCGCCGCAUACCAGACCGGUACGUUCGGUGGUGUGAGAGGACAGAUAGGGAAUUAAUCCCUAUCUUCCUACUCGAU
rnacentral:misc_RNA from 1 species